UCGUCGUCCUCCUCAUGUCCUCCCGCUGGUUUUGAUUCCAUCUCCAACUUCAACUUGAGUGCCUGGACGGAUCAUCCUUGGUUCAUUCAGGAGCAGAUGG
rnacentral:ribozyme from 1 species